rnacentral:miRNA from 1 species
GGAGAGGCAUUGUCCCCUGGA